AUUGUAGGCUGAAACUCGCCUACAUGAAGCUGGAGUUACUAGUAAUCGCAGAUCAGAAUGCUGCGGUGAAUGCGUUCCCGGGUCUUGUACACACCGCCCGUCACACCACGGAAGUUGGGGGCGCCCGAAGCCACUUAGCUAACCCUUUGGGAAGCGAGUGUCGAAGGUGAAAUCAAUAACUGGGGUGAAGUCGUAACAAGGUAGC
rnacentral:rRNA from 1 species